rnacentral:rRNA from 1 species
GACGUAGGGCGCGAGCGUUGUCCGGAUUUAUUGGGCGUAAAGAGCUUGUAGGCGGUUUGUCGCGUCUGCUGUGAAAUCUCAAGGCUCAACCUUGAGCUUGCAGUGGGUACGGGCAGACUAGAGUGUGGUAGGGGAGACUGGAAUUCCUGGUGUAGCGGUGAAAUGCGCAGAUAUCAGGAGGAACACCGAUGGCGAAGGCAGGUCUCUGGGCCACUACUGACGCUGAGAAGCGAAAGCCAUGGGGGAGCGAACAGG